CGGUUAAGUUAGAAAGGGCGCACGGUGGAUGCCUUGGCACUAGGAGCCGAUGAAGGACGGGACGAACACCGAUAUGCUUCGGGGAGCUGUAAGCAAGCUUUGAUCCGGAGAUUUCCGAAUGGGGAAACCCACCACUCGUAAUGGAGUGGUAUCCAUAUCUGAAUACAUAGGAUAUGAGAAGGCAGACCCGGGGAACUGAAACAUCUAAGUACCCGGAGGAAGAGAAAGCAAAUGCGAUUCCCUGAGUAGCGGCGAGCGAAACGGGACCAGCCCAAACCAAGAGGCUUGCCUCUUGGGGUUGUAGGACACUCUGUACGGAGUUACAAAGGAACGAGGUAGAUGAAGAGGUCUGGAAAGGCCCGCCAUAGGAGGUAACAGCCCUGUAGUCAAAACUUCGUUCUCUCCUGAGUGGAUCCUGAGUACGGCGGAACACGUGAAAUUCCGUCGGAAUCCGGGAGGACCAUCUCCCAAGGCUAAAUACUCCCUAGUGACCGAUAGUGAACCAGUACCGUGAGGGAAAGGUGAAAAGCACCCCGGAAGGGGAGUGAAAGAGAUCCUGAAACCGUGUGCCUACAAGUAGUCAGAGCCCGUUAACGGGUGAUGGCGUGCCUUUUGUAGAAUGAACCGGCGAGUUACGAUCCCGUGCAAGGUUAAGCAGAAGAUGCGGAGCCGCAGCGAAAGCGAGUCUGAAUAGGGCGAAUUGAGUACGUGGUCGUAGACCCGAAACCAGGUGAUCUACCCAUGUCCAGGGUGAAGUUCAGGUAACACUGAAUGGAGGCCCGAACCCACGCACGUUGAAAAGUGCGGGGAUGAGGUGUGGGUAGGGGUGAAAUGCCAAUCGAACCUGGAGAUAGCUGGUUCUCUCCGAAAUAGCUUUAGGGCUAGCCUCAAGGUAAGAGUCUCGGAGGUAGAGCACUGAUUGGACUAGGGGCCCCUACCGGGUUACCGAAUUCAGUCAAACUCCGAAUGCCGAUGACUUAUCCUUGGGAGUCAGACUGCGAGUGAUAAGAUCCGUAGUCGAAAGGGAAACAGCCCAGAUCGCCAGCUAAGGUCCCAAAGUAUACGUUAAGUGGAAAAGGAUGUGGAGUUGCUUAGACAACCAGGAUGUUGGCUUAGAAGCAGCCACCAUUUAAAGAGUGCGUAAUAGCUCACUGGUCGAGUGACUCUGCGCCGAAAAUGUACCGGGGCUAAACGUAUCACCGAAGCUGCGGACUGUUCUUCGAACAGUGGUAGGAGAGCGUUCUAAGGGCUGUGAAGCAAGACCGGAAGGACUUGUGGAGCGCUUAGAAGUGAGAAUGCCGGUAUGAGUAGCGAAAGAGGGGUGAGAAUCCCCUCCACCGAAUGCCUAAGGUUUCCUGAGGAAGGCUCGUCCGCUCAGGGUUAGUCGGGACCUAAGCCGAGGCCGAAAGGCGUAGGCGAUGGAUAACAGGUUGAUAUUCCUGUACCACCUCCUCACCAUUUGAGCAAUGGGGGGACGCAGGAGGAUAGGGUAAGCGCGGUAUUGGAUAUCCGCGUCCAAGCAGUUAGGCUGGGAAAUAGGCAAAUCCGUUUCCCGUGAAGGCUGAGCUGUGAUGGCGAGCGAAUUAUAGUAGCGAAGUUCCUGAUUCCACACUGCCAAGAAAAGCCUCUAGCGAGGUGAGAGGUGCCCGUACCGCAAACCGACACAGGUAGGCGAGGAGAGAAUCCUAAGGUGAUCGAGAGAACUCUCGUUAAGGAACUCGGCAAAAUGACCCCGUAACUUCGGGAGAAGGGGUGCUCUGUUAGGGUGCAAGCCCGAGAGAGCCGCAGUGAAUAGGCCCAGGCGACUGUUUAGCAAAAACACAGGUCUCUGCGAAGCCGUAAGGCGAAGUAUAGGGGCUGACGCCUGCCCGGUGCUGGAAGGUUAAGAGGAGCGCUUAGCGUAAGCGAAGGUGCGAAUUGAAGCCCCAGUAAACGGCGGCCGUAACUAUAACGGUCCUAAGGUAGCGAAAUUCCUUGUCGGGUAAGUUCCGACCCGCACGAAAGGCGCAACGAUCUGGGCACUGUCUCAACGAGAGACUCGGUGAAAUUAUAGUACCUGUGAAGAUGCAGGUUACCCGCGACAGGACGGAAAGACCCCGUGGAGCUUUACUGCAGCCUGAUAUUGAAUGUUGGUACAGCUUGUACAGGAUAGGUAGGAGCCUUGGAAACCGGAGCGCCAGCUUCGGUGGAGGCAUCGGUGGGAUACUACCCUGGCUGUAUUGACCUUCUAACCCGCCGCCCUUAUCGGGCGGGGAGACAGUGUCAGGUGGGCAGUUUGACUGGGGCGGUCGCCUCCUAAAAGGUAACGGAGGCGCCCAAAGGUUCCCUCAGAAUGGUUGGAAAUCAUUCGCAGAGUGUAAAGGCACAAGGGAGCUUGACUGCGAGACCUACAAGUCGAGCAGGGACGAAAGUCGGGCUUAGUGAUCCGGUGGUUCCGCAUGGAAGGGCCAUCGCUCAACGGAUAAAAGCUACCCCGGGGAUAACAGGCUUAUCUCCCCCAAGAGUCCACAUCGACGGGGAGGUUUGGCACCUCGAUGUCGGCUCAUCGCAUCCUGGGGCUGUAGUCGGUCCCAAGGGUUGGGCUGUUCGCCCAUUAAAGCGGUACGCGAGCUGGGUUCAGAACGUCGUGAGACAGUUCGGUCCCUAUCCGUCGCGGGCGCAGGAAAUUUGAGAGGAGCUGUCCUUAGUACGAGAGGACCGGGAUGGACGCACCGCUGGUGUACCAGUUGUUCUGCCAAGGGCAUCGCUGGGUAGCUAUGUGCGGACGGGAUAAGUGCUGAAAGCAUCUAAGCAUGAAGCCCCCCUCAAGAUGAGAUUUCCCAUUCCGCAAGGAAGUAAGAUCCCUGAAAGAUGAUCAGGUUGAUAGGUCUGAGGUGGAAGUGUGGCGACACAUGGAGCUGACAGAUACUAAUCGAUCGAGGACUUAACCAAUUU
rnacentral:rRNA from 1 species